GCCCGGAGAGGGAUGAGGGGCGGGAGGCGGGGCCGGUGAGGGACGGAAUUGGGCCGCUUUCUUCCUGCUGCUCGGGUACAGCCAUCCUGACCUUAGACCUGGCCGGCGCCUACGGGCACACCACGCGGGCACCAGGCAGGCAGUGAGCUGCCCUCGGUCCAGCAGCCGGGCCUCCUCCUGCCCGCGUGUGCGUCCAGACUAGGCUGGGAGGGGGAGCGCGUGAUGAGGCAGCGGCCGGCUCCCCCAACGUGAGGCCUAGGCAGAUGGCUGGCCAGAGCUAAAUUGAUUCCUAAUGAUUUGUGUCUCUCCCCUGCCCGGCAACGGGUAACUUUUCAUUAGAGACACAGAUGUCUUCAUAAGGCGAUGCCAGGGCCCUCCCACGGCAGCCCCAGCACCCCUCCACUCCGCUGCAGACAUGGGGGUGUCACAGGGGUAAGAGGGUGGGAGGACUGAAGGGUCCAGGAGGAGGCCAGCCACACCCAGCCGUCUGCUGUCUCCAGGAUGCAGGUGGCAGCUGCCCACUCCCCCCAGACCACAGCAGCCCCUGACCUGCUCUUGCAGUGGCCGCUGGGGACACCUCCUAGGCCCUGGGCUGUGUGGGCGCUCCAGCAUCACUCCCUCUCCCUCUCCAGCAGGCCUGUCUGGUGGCCAUCACUCUGCAGCUUCCCUGCCAUGCCCACGGCUCCCCCUUGGCCUCCACUCACUGUCCCCAGAGAGCAAGAGCCAGGAUUCCGUCUCAGAGGGUGCAGGCUUGUGUCUGGAUGUCUUUAUUUUGGCCAGGCUAUUGGUGUGCCUGCCUGUGUGGCAGCUGGAUGCUGGGCCUCCUGGAGCCCAGGGGGGAGCUGCACAAGUCAUGCUGUCCAGAAACCAGGCCCAGGGUGGACAAACCAUGCCUGAUGGAUGACCAGCUCUUGGCUUACAGCACACUCUAUAUUUGUAAAUGACAUUGGCUGUA